CGCGUAGGUGGUAGUGCAAGUCUGGGGUGGAAUCCCAGGGCUUAACCCUGGAACUGCCUUGGAAACUGUAAUUACUUGAGUCAGUGAGGGGAGGGUAGAAUUCCUGGUGUAGCGGUGAAAUGCGUAGAUAUCAGGAGGAAGGCCUGUGGCGAAGGCGGCCCUCUGGCGCUGAACUGACACUGAGGCGCGAAAGCGUGGGGAGCAAACAGGAUUAGAUACCCUGGUAGUCCACGCCCUAAACGGUGGGUACUAGGUGUAGGGCUCGUAAGGGUUCUGUGCCGAAGCGAAAGCAUUAAGUACCCCGCCUGGGGAGUACGGCCGCAAGGUUGAA
rnacentral:rRNA from 1 species